GUUUCCGUAGUGUAGAGGUUAUCACGUUCGCCUCACACCCGAUAGGUCCUCGGUUUGAGCCCGUGUGGAUACA
rnacentral:tRNA from 1 species